GCGGACGUGCGUUCAGUUGGCUAGGCUGUCUUUCAUCAGUUUGAUCAAACCCGCUGAAACCGCCGCACGCUGUUAUCCAAACCUUGCCAAGGUUGGGGUCGUGAGUUCGAAUCUCAUCGCCCGCUCCA
rnacentral:tRNA from 1 species